rnacentral:misc_RNA from 1 species
GUAGGAUAUGUAAACCAUGGAGCAAGACAAUUCCAACCAAAGAAAGAGGUUCCAAUUAAGUAGAGACCAGAAUAUGACAUGCAAUGGUUUGCAAAAGUCCCAGGAGUGGACCUAAGUCUCUCUGCAUUGGUUCCAUACAGCAUACAAGGAGCCACACUUCCAAGAAGACCUCUCAUUGAAAACUCAAGGAAAGCCUUGCUUGAUAUGAGAAAGAUGCUAGUUCCAUA